ensembl:ncRNA lncRNA:TS2 long noncoding RNA: testis-specific 2
UGAAAUGUCAUAGGCUUUGGAUUUUUAGAGUAACUAUAUUUUCUCACAGUGCAUUUCCUUGAGCGGUAAAAAGCCGCCGAACGCCGAACACGCUCCACACUUGAGUUCUGACGGACUCGAGUGCUUGGGGAAUGGACGAGACUCCACCUCAAGAUUCAAGCCCCAAAACUCAAAACUCAAGACUCAAGACCACAGACCCCCAGACCCCAGACCACAAGACACCCAAAGCCCCGAGACAGGGAGGAGCACUCUUGAGAGACCCUCGUGCUCGUGCCCCGUUUCAAAUGUUUCGUUAAAAAGAGGAAUUGUGGAACCUUUAAUUAAACGGUGGCCUAAAAUAUGCAAACGAGCCGGAGUCUUUGGAGAUCGGAGAACGGAGAAUGGAGACGUGGGGCCAGUCCG